rnacentral:sRNA from 1 species
ACCCUCCGUUAGGUGAGGCUCCUGCACGGAGAUAAGCUGCUGCCCAAAAAUGUCGAGAGACGCCAAUGGGUGGAACAGGAAGGAUCGAACUAAGGUCCUUUCUAACGCAGCUGGUGCGAUCACCUAUGCCGUGCAGUGCCGAAGCUCAACGACUGGAG